rnacentral:rRNA from 1 species
GACGAACGCUGGCGGCGUGCCUAAUACAUGCAAGUCGAGCGGAAGUUGAAGAGCUUGCUCUUCAACUUUAGCGGCGGACGGGUGAGUAACACGUGGGCAACCUGCCCUGCAGAUCGGGAUAACUCCGGGAAACCGGUGCUAAUACCGAAUAGUUUUCGCCACCUCCUGGUGGCGUACGGAAAGACGGUUUCGGCUGUCACUGCAGGAUGGGCCCGCGGCGCAUUAGCUAGUUGGGGGGGUAACGGCCCACCAAGGCAACGAUGCGUAGCCGACCUGAGAGGGUGAUAGGCCACACUGGGACUGAGACACGGCCCAGACUCCUACGGGAGGCAGGAGUAGGGAAUCUUCCGCAAUGGACGAAAGUCUGACGGAGCAACGCGGCGUGAGUGACGAAGGUUUUCGGCUCGUAAAACUCUGUUGUGAGGGAAGAACAAGUACCACUUAACUACUGGUACCUUGACGGUACCUCACCAGAAAGCCACGGCUAACUACGUGCCAGCAGCCGCCGUAACAC